AUCUUUCUAGUACAACUUAGUAUAAGUGACUUCCAAUCACACGAUCCCGGUUAGAGUCCGAGGAAAGAUA
rnacentral:tRNA from 1 species